CCAAAGCGCUGGGAUUACAGGCCUGAGCAACCACGCCCGGCCAGGAUGGUCUCUUGAAUGAGAACUUUUUCUCCCUGCCUGUUAGUCACUGUGACAAAGGGGACCCAGGGAGACUGGAGCCCAACACUGGAUUCUUUGUCAGGAUGUCACGUCAUGGGGUUCAGGCUGCAGCAUGCAAGCCAUCGCUGGCUCCAAUAUCCCUGAACUCUCCUACACGGACUAAACGUCACAAAAGGCCCUUGAAGAGUCCCCAGGCAGCCUCCACAGCGAGAUAGCAUUUUGAUCUCCAUUGCCUCCCACCCAAAACAGGCAGCCUGUUUUCCUUCUCCUGUCCCCUCAUUGACUGCAAGCCCUUUAAGGGCAGGGCAUGUGUCUGUUCUUGCUUUUGGGUCCCCUGCACACCCAGUCGAGCAUGCCCGUACACAUGUUGACCUUGCCAAGUGAUCAGCACUGAUUUGAGGACUUGCAGGGCUCCCAGGACUUUGUAUUCCAGGACCUUCUUUUCCGCAGCUGGCACAGUUCCAGCCCAUGUCAUUGGAAAUGUGUCGAGCCUUGAAAUAUUAGCAUGGACAUCCGUUAUGACUCCAGCUUCCCCUGUGGGCGGGACAGGUCAGAGCAAGCCUACGCUGUGGCUACCUGAUGUCAAGGGGAAUCCCAUUUGCUGCCUCUGUGAAAUUCCUUGUUUCCAGGCCAGGGUCCAGGACAGCAGGGUCUGCUGCAGCCUUAGCUGCCUUGGUGCUGGGCCUGACUGCAUCUCCAGUGCAAGCAGCUGGCAGGGAAGCAGCUGGGGCUUGACCCCAGAGCCUCAGGAACCUGUGUGAGGAUCCAACCGCAGCCUCCUUUCCUCUCCUCACUCCCCUACUCUGAAAUCUCCACACAGGUCCUCUGGUGCUCUUCAAACUUGUAUUUCCUCCCAGGGGCACACAAGAGGCCUGAUAAGUCUCCUUCUUUACUUCCAGGGAAACAGUACCGACUUCGGUGAGGAGGCAAACGCUCCGAAUCUACUGCAGGUGUUAGUUCUGCAGAGGAGUCUUUCUGCUUAAGGGCUCAUUUGAUGUUCUGGAAACUUGCCAGAGUCACUGUGGUCUCCGAGGUUAUGAUCCUGGUUCUCCUCCUCUGCCUGAGCAGACUCAGCAGCAAAACACACAUGGCCGAGUCCUUCACCAGAGCCUCUCUGCAUGGACCCCACGGUGCUUUCCUGGGGAAUGAGGUUGGAUGCUAGAAACCCAGCCUGACUCCUGCGCUCCAAGGCUCAAGAACACUCAGAAAGCCUCUCUGAAAAGCCCCCUUGAGCAGAUGCCUUCAAGGUCUAACCGGCUCAGGAGGGUCACCAGAGCCCCACGAUGCUGGCUCAGAGAACCUGGGUAACAGGAGAAGCAGCUUUUCCCACUCACUGCCUCUGACACAAGCUCAUUCUCCACAGUCAUGUGAGUUUCCCAAACACCUUCCUCCCUCUGGCGUGUCUCUCUCAAGCCUCAGUCCAGUGCAUGUGAUUUAUGAAAGGCCGUGAGGUCAGGCCCACUCACGGCAACAGCCCCGGCCCCUUCCCCAGCCUCUAACCCGUUCUUCUUCAGUUACGCUUUCCAUGGCUCCUUCCUGAUUUGCUCAUCCCCAGAGAUGGAUGACCAGGGUUGUGAGCGCUGGUGUCUGAGUUCAUUCCAGAUGCGGGCUUGAAACUGAAGGAGCCAAGUCAGCCCCCUAAGGAAGGUUAUAAUUGCUGAAGGAAAUAAUGAGGAGGGAGGUGGAUGGACGGGCUAUGGCUAAGAGAUUGUGUGUCUUGGGACCUUGGCAACUCAAACUUCUCCACAAAAGCAGAGAAGGAACAAGGAGAAAGUCAGUGGCAGCUGGACCCCAAGCUCACCAGCACCCCAGCAGUGACUGUGUCUAAAGCAAGGUCAUCCACAUAGAUGACUGCAGUGAGAGUGGCUACUCAGUUGCAAAGUAAGAAUGAGCUCUCAUUAUUAGUGGCUGUUUUAAAAUCAUUUAACAAUCUGGGCUAAGGGCUGUUGAGAAUAUAAAACGGUGUGAGCCAAGGAACUUAGCAUCUGGUUAGAAAGGUAAAAGGAAUUCAUAAAUACACAUUUAAUGCAAAUAAAAGGCCAUAUGUGAUAGGUUCAUAAUGAACUUAUUCGACAAGCCUGUAUUGAGUGCCGACUGUGUGCUAGACUUAAGUUCCUUUUUAAAUUUGUUUUUACUUAUUUUUAAUUGACAAAUAAUAAUUGUACAUAUUUAUGGGAUAUAUGAGAUAUUUUGAUCUAUCUGUAUGUUAUAGAAAGAUUCAAUCAAUCUGAAUAACAUUCCCUCACCUGA